rnacentral:rRNA from 1 species
GAUGAACGCUGGCGGCGUGCCUAAUACAUGCAAGUCGUACGAACAGCGGAAAGUGCUUGCACUUUCCAAGUAAGUGGCGAACGGGUGAGUAACACGUGAAUAACCUACCUCAAAGACUGGGAUAACCAUUGGAAACAGUGACUAAUACCGGAUAAAACCCAGUAGCACAUGCUACAAGGUUAAAAGCUGCGUUUGCAGCGCUUUAAGAUGGAUUCGCGGUGCAUUAGUUAGUUGGUGAGGUAAAGGCUCACCAAGACAAUGAUGCAUAGCCGAGUUGAGAGACUGACCGGCCACAUUGGGACUGAGACACGGCCCAAACUCCUACGGGAGGCUGCAGUAGGGAAUAUUGGACAAUGGGGGCAACCCUGAUCCAGCCAUGCCGCGUGAGUGAUGAAGGCCUUAGGGUUGUAAAGCACUGUUGUAUGGGAAGAACAGCUAGAAUAGGAAAUGAUUUUAGUUUGACGGUACCAUACCAGAAAGGGACGGCUAAAUACGUGCCAGCAGCCGCAGUAAAAC